GUACACUCCUACGGGAGGCAGCAGUGGGGAAUUUUGGACAAUGGGCGAAAGCCUGAUCCAGCAAUGCCGCGUGUGUGAAGAAGGCCUUCGGGUUGUAAAGCACUUUUGUCCGGAAAGAAAUCCUUGGCUCUAAUACAGUCGGGGGAUGACGGUACCGGAAGAAUAAGCACCGGCUAACUACGUGCCAGCAGCCGCGGUAAUACGUAGGGUGCGAGCGUUAAUCGGAAUUACUGGGCGUAAAGCGUGCGCAGGCGGUUUGCUAAGACCGAUGUGAAAUCCCCGGGCUCAACCUGGGAACUGCAUUGGUGACUGGCAGGCUAGAGUAUGGCAGAGGGGGGUAGAAUUCCACGUGUAGCAGUGAAAUGCGUAGAGAUGUGGAGGAAUACCGAUGGCGAAGGCAGCCCCCUGGGCCAAUACUGACGCUCAUGCACGAAAGCGUGGGGAGCAAACAGGAUUAGAAACCCCAGUAGUCCCAUGAU
rnacentral:rRNA from 1 species